UACAGAGGGGGCAAGCGUUAUUCGGAAUUAUUGGGCGUAAAGGGCGCGUAGGCGGCCUGGCAAGUGGAAGGUGAAAUCCCUCGGCUUAACCGAGGAACUGCCCUCCAAACUGCUUGGCUUGAGUCCGGGAGAGGUGAGUGGAAUUCCCAGUGUAGCGGUGAAAUGCGUAGAUAUCGAGAGGAACACCUGCGGCGAAGGCGGGUUGCUGGGCCGACACUGACGCUGAUGCGCGAAAGCCAGGGGAGCGAACGGG
rnacentral:rRNA from 1 species